rnacentral:misc_RNA from 1 species
GUGCCACUGUUAUUGGAGAGUUCAAGGGGAGUUCUGGUAUAGAUGCUCCUUCAUCGGCAAGAAAAGAUGUCUCCAAAGCCAAGUGGUAUGCUGCAAAAACUCCAUAUUGCACCACAUGUUUCACUUUCUUCAACUCAUCCCCAUUAGCACCUCUAAGUAAAAUAGUAAAACCCAAUGGCUUUGGGCAGUCCUCAAAAUACAUCAAUCUCUUCACCAAUUUUUUUCCACCCUGCCCAGCAGUACCAAGAUCUUCCAAAAAUUUCUCUACGUGAAACAUAUCGCAGUAGCCCAACUUUGGGGAAGAGAGAUGAUCGAUUGAAGGAACUAUUUGAGCACCCGUGCAACGGGCUAUGCGCUCUAAAAGUGGCCUCUUGAUAUUGAGAACAAGAGAUAUGUCUUUAGCAAGAAGGUACUCCUGCGCAAAUCGUGAAACUGAUUUCUCUACUAAAAGAACAUCAGGUUGGUGUGCAUCUAUCCUUGCCACAGCCAUCUUUAGAUGGUCCAUUUCCUGCUGUAGCAGGGUAUCAAAACUUGAUAAGUGGUUAGAAACCCGUUGGUACUCAAGAGCCCCUCCAAGGAUCAACAAUCGAGGUCUCUCUAUUUUUGAUUUCAUUCGGCGAUGAGCCACAUUUUUCUUACAAACAACUCCUUUGACCACCAUACUCUCACAGCGCCAUCCAGAAGCAAUGCAUUUUACUUUCACAUAUCCACCAGGGUCCAUUCCUCCACUUUUGCUCAUAUCUGGCUUCAGUAGUGUAGCUGCCUCCCAUGACAGAGAUGUAAUGAUUUCCAACCAGCUUUCAUUAUCAUCUUCAUCACCCACAGGAAUAUUCUCAACCUGUAAUAGCUGGGCUACCAAAGCCCUGAAAUGCCCAUCAACCACAUUUUUCAUGGCCUUCUUUUGCUCCUCACCUGUCUUGUCUCUAUUACGGAAUUCUCCACUUCCAAAACUGUUUGAGGUGGGUAAAAGUCCCCACUCUCCAGCCACAUGCCCAUCAUCGUCAUCCUCAUCAUCAUCAAACAAACCAGCUUCCCUCUCAUCUUCUUCAUCUUCUGGUUCAGGCGGAAGCCAGAGCAGUCCAUUGUUCUCAAAAUCCACAGGUUCAGCAUCACUGUUUUCCGCCGGAUACAUGGAGGAAGGUACUUCACACUCAUCAUCCAUAUCAAGCCCAUCUUUUUUCCCAUGCUGUGGCAUUCCUUCCAGACUAUGUGAGCCAAAAGUAUGGUUCAAUGGAGAGCUGCUUAAGCUUUUUGAGUCAAUAUUUUCUCCAUCAAGACGAGCUUUAUGUGAUCCCUCAUCAUUGCUCAUGUCAUCAAACUCAACUUGAUGAAAAUACUCAGUGUCUUGGGGAAAAUGCCUCGUUUCAGAAUCAGUGCGAAAUACACCAUAGUCAUCAUCAUCGUCAUCGCUUCUGUUCAUAGAAAAUGCAUAGAGGUUUGGAGAAUGAUAGCCCAUGUCUGAGACAAUGCCAUUGCUCCUUCCAAAUGCUAAUUCUCUUUGUUUAUCCGAAGAAUUUGUUUCCAUUUCAGAUGUUUGAUGUGGGCUGGGAACUGCAAUUUGUUGAGCUCGUUGACAUGGCCCAACUGAGUAUGGCAUCGAGCCAAGAGUGAAGGUACUACUGUUAAUAGUGCCACUAGAUUUAGAGCUGGCCAAACUUGCCGCUGAUGGUGAACUGCUAAGAUCCAGGCUAGGAACCUGGAUUCCAUUAUCCAAAGUAGCUAUCCCCUGCUGCCAUUGUUUGAAACAAUAAUUACAUACCCGAAUUUUUUCCCACUCUUCCCGUGGAGACUUUGGAUCACUUGAUGGGGCAGGAACUGAGUUGGCUGUACAAUUGGCACAGAAAAUACGACCACAAAGUCUACAGUGGUGCCUACGGUUAAUUAUUGUGAACUGAGAAUCGCACUCAUAGCAUACUCUGCAACUCUGAUCGGGCAUCCAAAAAUCCCUUGACACAGUUGCAGACUCAGAUCGCCAAGGCAUCCACGAUUUCAAUAUGCCAACUAGCUCAGAAAAUGUCUUGUCAGGGGAAUUCAUCUACAAACACUCCUUACAGCCCCGUUCAUCAUGCUAUAUUCAUUUGCCAGUUUUAACAAACCUUAUCCCAAAAAUUUCAGCUACAAUCAAGAAACCAAACCCUCGCAACAACUUUAAAAGAUCAAAAAAAAUACAUGGAUAUAUAUGCUGCUGCUGCUACUAACACAAUCUAAUAUGAAAAUUCAAAUGAUCACAUGCCAGUGACAGAUUAUAACAGCACUAUAGCAGCUCCUAUCUCAAUCCAAAUAUUAGAUCUUCUAAACCACUGCCUUUUCUAAUAAACCUCAAUUGUACCUCAAUCCUACACUUCCAACUACUCUGGAAAAAAUGUUGAUAUAUAACCCCUUUCACCAGAAACUAGAGCUCAAUAUACCAACGACCCAAGUCCCCAAAUAAAUUGUACACAGACCAAAAGCACACUAAAUUGAAAGAACACAGAAGCUCAGAACUGUAUAAAACCAUAAAAGCCCAUCUCAAUGCAUCAAAACGUAUAUCCCAUAAGAAAAAGAAAAUUUUAUUUUCAUUUGUACACAAUUCUAACGAGGAACCAAAUGUUACCUUGAAAAGGCAAUCAAGAAUAACAACAACAACAAUAACAUCAAAAUCAAUAUUUUUUCCUUCAAGGGACUCGAGCCACGUAGUCAAUGAAUCCGUGACAAAAGGGCAGGUGGUAAUUUUGCAGAAGCCCGCCUACCCAGAUACGAUUCUUCAAAGAAUCAAUAUGAUCCAAUUCUUGAUCACAAUCUUGAAUUCAUGAUGGUGAAUUUAUGGCGCUUUUUUAUGUAGAGAAACUAGAUGAAGA